CAACGCAUUAGUCAGGAAAGGCAACUCAGUGAUCCCUUCAGCUCCAAUGAUGAACUUUGUGCGUGCCCAGAUCAAGAAAGCAGCUGAUGAGACCGAGACUAUUCUGGAAACAACCCCGGCUGGCAAAAGCGAUGGGGAAGGUGCACUUCGAGCAUUCAUUAAGCGCCAGGGCCAAAAGUUAAGGCGGCUAUCAAACCUUUUCGGUUGUCGUGGCCCGAGUAUGUAUCACCAGAACGGUCUAGGUCGGCGACACCAUCAGAUCCCGCUUCGGGGCAGGGCCAUGGUGAACCUUUCGCGGAUGAGGAUGUGGGUGUGGUCACCCAAGAGGUUGCUGAUGAUAUGACCGUGGGGACGUACCAGGCUCGGUCUGCAUACGAGUUGAAGCCUAGGAAGGGAAUCAACAAGUACACACCUGAAGACUUCACCCAAAGAGGCCAAAGAGGCAAAAGGACGGUCGGCACCUCGCGGAUGGCGGCUUUGGAUGACUAUUUGGAUGACAAUGUAGAUGACGUGGAGGAACCGGAGCCGUAGCCGGAGCGGGUUCCUCUUCCUAGGAAGGUGAAGAAGAUAAGCGUCAAGAGGGGGGAGGAGCCAGCAAGCGCGGAAAGCACUAGUCAUCGUCCUUUAUUUAUAAUGUUGAACUUAGAGUGGAAUUUGUUAUGUCAUUGAACUUGGAGUGGUGGUAACUAUUAGUAAUGUGAAAUUUGUUAUGUCGUUGAACUUGGAGUGGUCGUAGCUAUUAGUAAUGUGGAAUUUGUUAUGUCGUUGAACUUGGAGUGGUCGUAGCUAUUAGUAAUGUGGAAUUUGUUAUGUCGUUGAACUUGGAGUGGUGGUAGCUCUAUGUUAAACUUGAACUUAUUGUGAUGGUCCUUUCUAAGAAAUGAUGUCUUUGGUGAA